AAACUAAAAACCAAAGGAGGAGUGAAGAAGAAAGGGAAAAAACCAGCAGAAUAUGAUGUUUAUAGGGACCCUUCGUAUCAUGAGUAUGUUGAUAAGGCAUCUCAAUCUUCACAAAGGCAAUCUCAACCAUCACAGACUUCGAAGAAGUUAAAAUUAUCAAAGAAGCAACCACAAUUCAUUCUUCAAUUUCCUAAUCAUAUUAGGUCAUACAUUGAAGAUGUAGUUAAUGUUGAAUCAGAUGGUAAUUG
rnacentral:lncRNA from 1 species